UGUGGGCUGAAGUAGUGCUU
rnacentral:miRNA from 1 species